GAGUUUGAUCAUGGCUCAGAAUGAACGCUGGCGGCAGGCCUAAAACAUGCAAGUCGAACGCCCUAGCAAUAGGGAGUGGCGCACGGGUGCGUAACAUGUGGGAAUAUGCCUUUUGGUACGGAACAACGUUUGGAAACGAACGCUAAUGCCGUAUGGUCCCUUCGGGGUAAAGAUUUAUCGCCAAAAGAUUAGCCCGCACUGGAUUAGCUAGUUGGUGAGGUAAUGGCUCACCAAGGCGACGAUCCAUAGCUGGUCUGAGAGGACGAUCAGCCACACUGGGACUGAGACACGGCCCAGACUCCUACGGGAGGCAGCAGUUAGGAAUAUUGGACAAUGGGCGCAAGCCUGAUCCAGCCAUGCCGCGUGAGUGAUGAAGGCCUUCGGUUGUAAGACUCUUUAGCCGAUGAUUAUAAUGACUGUAGUCGGAAAUAAGACCCGG
rnacentral:rRNA from 1 species